GGCUGGUCCGAAGGUAGUGAGUUAGCUCACUCUGUUGUUCACAGUUACAGGCUGAACUUGUCCUGCCACUUUCCCCUCUCACUACAGCACUCCACCAGUCUAUG
rnacentral:Y_RNA from 1 species